rnacentral:rRNA from 1 species
CACGGGGGGGGCAAGCGUUGUUCGGAAUUACUGGGCGUAAAGGGCUCGUAGGCGGCCAACUAAGUCCGACGUGAAAUCCCCAGGCUUAACCUGGGAACUGCGUCGGAUACUGGAUGGCUUGAAUUCGGGAGAGGGAUGCAGAAUUCCGGGUGUAGCGGUGAAAUGCGUAGAUAUCUGGAGGAACACCAAUUGCGAAGGCAGCUCGCUGGGACGUUACUGACGCUGAGACGCGAAAGCGUGGGGAGCAAACAGG